rnacentral:rRNA from 1 species
GCUUGUCUCAAAGAUUAAGCCAUGCAUGUCUAAGUAUAAACUAAUUUAUACAGUGAAACUGCGAAUGGCUCAUUAAAUCAGUUAUAGUUUAUUUGAUAAUCAAUCUUACUCGGAUAACCGUGGUAAUUCUAGAGCUAAUACGUGCACAAAACCCCGACUUCUGGAAGGGGUGUAUUUAUUAGAUAAAAAACCAACCCGGCAACGGUUCUUUGGUGAUUCAUGAUAACUGUUCGAAGCGCACGGCCUCGCGCCGGCGCUAGUUCAUUCAAAUUUCUGCCCUAUCAGCUUUCGACGGUAGUGUAGUGGACUACCGUGGCGCUAACGGGUGACGGAGAAUUAGGGUUCGGUUCCGGAGAGGGAGCCUGAGAAACGGCUACCACAUCCAAGGAAGGCAGCAGG